UUCAAGUUUGCACAAUCAGUUAUAUAAUCUAUGUGCUCUCAUAGCUGAUGCCUUGUUUUUGGCCAUUGAUUACAAAGGUUGAAAUCAUCAUUAUCAAAAGUUUGUUUUGGAUCGAUGGAACUAAAUAGACAAGGAGUUUCAAGUGGCUUCGAGGAGACGUCGUGAGUGGUAUUUCGAUUGUCUUUCGGGUUUGAAAGACUCGGGAUUAGGUGGAAUUGAGGAUUGUCAAAUUCUUAGAACGAAGCAAAGAAUAAUUCGAGAUUGUUAUUGUCUUCUAGGCGAAGGUUAAAUAAAGUCUUUAAUGUUUAGAUGAUGAUUUGAGAGUUUGUAAUAAUGAGAUUCUUUCUUUAGGUUGAGAUUUAUUUGGAGUUGAGGAAUAUUUAUUUUUAUCAAGUUAAUUGGCUUAGUUGACUUUUGGGAUUAUAGAGAAUAUUUGUUGUUGGUUUUAGUUCAAUGAAGAGAUUUGUUUUAGUGUUCUUUUAA